rnacentral:rRNA from 1 species
GGGGAAUAUUGGACAAUGGGGGGAACCCUGAUCCAGCCAUGCCGCGUGUGUGAAGAAGGCCUUUUGGUUGUAAAGCACUUUAAGCGAGGAGGAGGCUACUCUAGUUAAUACCUAGGGAUAGUGGACGUUACUCGCAGAAUAAGCACCGGCUAACUCUGUGCCAGCAGCCGCGGUAAUACAGAGGGUGCGAGCGUUAAUCGGAUUUACUGGGCGUAAAGCGUGCGUAGGCGGCUUUUUAAGUCGGAUGUGAAAUCCCUGAGCUUAACUUAGGAAUUGCAUUCGAUACUGGGAAGCUAGAGUAUGGGAGAGGAUGGUAGAAUUCCAGGUGUAGCGGUGAAAUGCGUAGAGAUCUGGAGGAAUACCGAUGGCGAAGGCAGCCAUCUGGCCUAAUACUGACGCUGAGGUACGAAAGCAUGGGGAGCAAAC